GACGAACGCUGGCGGCGUGCUUAACACAUGCAAGUCGAACGGAAAGGCCCUGCUUUUGUGGGGUGCUCGAGUGGCGAACGGGUGAGUAACACGUGAGUAACCUGCCCUUGACUUUGGGAUAACUUCAGGAAGCUGGGGCUAAUACCGGAUAGGAGCUCCUGCUGCAUGGUGGGGGUUGGAAAGUUUCGGCGGUUGGGGAUAGACUCGCGGCUUAUCAGCUUGUUGGUGGGGUAGUGGCUUACCAAGGCUUUGACGGGUAGCCGGCCUGAGAGGGUGACCGGCCACAUUGGGACUGAGAUACGGCCCAGACUCCUACGGGAGGCGGCAGUGGGGAAUAUUGCACAAUGGGCGGAAGCCUGAUGCAGCAACGCCGCGUGCGGGAUGACGGCCUUCGGGUUGUAAACCGCUUUCGCCUGUGACGAAGCGUGAGUGACGGUAAUGGGUAAAGAAGCACCGGCUAACUACGUG
rnacentral:rRNA from 1 species